rnacentral:rRNA from 1 species
UACGUAGGGGGCAAGCGUUGUCCGGAUUCAUUGGGCGUAAAGAGCUCGUAGGCGGUUCAGCAAGUCGGGUGUGAAACCUCCAGGCUCAACCUGGAGACGCCACCCGAUACUGCUGUGACUUGAGUCCGGUAGGGGACCACGGGAAUUCCUGGUGUAGCGGUGAAAUGCGCAGAUAUCGGGAGGAACACCGGUGGCGAAGGCGGUUCUCUGGGCCUGUUCUGACGCUGAGGAGCGAAAGCGUGGGAGCGAACAGG